UACGUAGGGUGCGAGCGUUGUCCGGAAUUAUUGGGCGUAAAGAGCUCGUAGGCGGCCUGUCGCGUCGGCUGUGAAAACCCGAGGCUCAACCUCGGGCCUGCAGUCGAUACGGGCAGGCUAGAGUUCGGUAGGGGAGACUGGAAUUCCUGGUGUAGCGGUGAAAUGCGCAGAUAUCAGGAGGAACACCGGUGGCGAAGGCGGGUCUCUGGGCAGUAACUGACGCUGAGGAGCGAAAGCGUGGGGAGCGAACAGG
rnacentral:rRNA from 1 species